AGCUGCUUACACACUGUGCAGUAGAAUGUUCCAGUCAGCACACAGCAUGAACAUGAGGAACCCUGCUCAACUCCUGGGGCUUCUGAUGCUCUGGCUCCCAGGUGCCAAAUGUGAUGUUCAGUUGACCCAGUUGCCAUCCAUGUCUGCAUCUCUUGGAGAGAGAGUCUCCAUGACUUGCAGGGCCAGUCAGGGCAUUGGGAAUUAUUUACAUUGGUACCAGCAGAAACCAGGAAAUGCCCCUAAGCUCCUGAUUUAUUUUGCAACUAAUUUGAAAUCUGGGACUCCUUCCAAAUUCAGUAGCAGUGGAUGAAAUGUCUCCUUUUUGUUGCU